GGUCGCAGGGCUGGGACCCCGCGACUGCGGUAUGCACACACACCUAAAGGACCACUACAGACACCCAGAUCACAUCAGCUCAAUGAAGUGGUCUGGGUGCCAGGUCCCUCUAGUUUUAACCCUGCAGCUGAAAACCUAGCAGUUUCAGAGAAACGGCUAUGUUUCACUGAGGGUUAAUCCAGCCUCUGGUGGCUGUCUCAUUGACAGCCGCUAGAGGAGCUUCCGUGAUUCUCACUGUGAAAAUCACAGUGAGAAGACACUGAAUGUCCAUAGGAAAGCAUUGAGUAAUGCUUUCCUAUGGGCGGUUUAAAUG